rnacentral:rRNA from 1 species
AGAGUUUGAUCAUGGCUCAGGAUGAACGCUAGCUACAGGCUUAACACAUGCAAGUCGAGGGGAAACGAUAUUGGAAGCUUGCUUCCGAUAGGCGUCGACCGGCGCACGGGUGAGUAACGCGUAUCCAACCUGCCCAUCACUUGGGGAUAACCUUGCGAAAGUAAGACUAAUACCCAAUGACGUCUCUAGAAGACAUCUGAAGGAGAUUAAAGAUUUAUCGGUGAUGGAUGGGGAUGCGUCAGAUUAGCUUGUUGGCGGGGUAACGGCCCACCAAGGCUACGAUCAGUAGGGGUUCUGAGAGGAAGGUCCCCCACAUUGGAACUGAGACACGGUCCAAACUCCUACGGGAGGCAGCAGUGAGGAAUAUUGGUCAAUGGACGAGAGUCUGAACCAGCCAAGUAGCGUGCAGGAUGACGGCCCUAUGGGUUGUAAACUGCUUUUAUAAGGGAAUAAAGUGAGCCUCGUGAGGCUUUUUGCAUGUACCUUAUGAAUAAGGACCGGCUAAUUCCGUGCCAGCAGCCGCGGUAAUACGGAAGGUCCGGGCGUUAUCCGGAUUUAUUGGGUUUAAAGGGAGCGUAGGCCGGAGAUCAAGCGUGUUGUGAAAUGUAGACGCUCAACGUCUGCACUGCAGCGCGAACUGGUUUCCUUGAGUACGCACAAAGUGGGCGGAAUUCGUGGUGUAGCGGUGAGAUGCUUAGAUAUCACGAAGAACUCCGAUUGCGAAGGCAGCUCACUGGAGCGCAACUGACGCUGAAGCUUGAAAGUGCGGGUAUCGAACAGGAUUAGAUACCCUGGUAGUCCGCACGGUAAACGAUGGAUGCCCGCUGUUGGUCUGAAUAGGUCAGCGGCCAAGCGAAAGCAUUAAGCAUCCCACCUGGGGAGUACGCCGGCAACGGUGAAACUCAAAGGAAUUGACGGGGACCCGCACAAGCGGUGGGGCAUGUGGUUUAAUUCGAAGCAACGCGAAGAACCUUACCUGCUCUAGACAUCUCCCUGACCGGCAAGUAAUGUUGCCUUUCCUUCGGGACAGGGAUGACAGGUGGUGCAUGGUUGUCGUCAGCUCGUGUCGUGAGAUGUUGGGUUAAGUCCCGCAACGAGCGCAACCCCUAUCUUUAGUAGCCAGCGGUCAGGCCGGGCACUCUAGAGAGACUGCCAGGGACAACCUGGAGGAAGGUGGGGAUGACGUCAAAUCAUCAUGCCCCUUAUGAGCAGGGCUACACACGUGCUACAAUGGCGUAAACAAAGGGAGGCAGAACCGCGAGGUCGAGCAAAUCCCAAAAAUAACGUCUCAGUUCGGAUUGUAGUCUGCAACUCGACUACAUGAAGCUGGAAUCGCUAGUAAUCGCGAAUCAGAAUGUCGCGGUGAAUACGUUCCCGGGUCUUGUACACACCGCCCGUCACACCAUGGGAGUCAGUAACGCCCGAAGUCAGUGACCCAACCGUAAGGAGGGAGCUGCCGAAGGUGGGACCGAUAACUGGGGUGAAGUCGUAACAAGGUA